AGUGAACGCUGGCGGUAGGCCUAACACAUGCAAGUCGAACGGCAGCACAGUAAGAGCUUGCUCUUACGGGUGGCGAGUGGCGGACGGGAGAGGAAUACAUCGGAAUCUACUUUUUCGUGGGGGUUAACGUAGGGAAACUUACGCUAAUACCGCAUACGACCUACGGGUGAAAGCAGGGGAUCUUCGGACCUUGCGCGAUUGAAUGAGCCGAUGUCGGAUUAGCUAGUUGGCGGGGUAAAGGCCCACCAAGGCGACGAUCCGUAGCUGGUCUGAGAGGAUGAUCAGCCACACUGGAACUGAGACACGGUCCAGACUCCUACGGGAGGCAGCAGUGGGGAAUAUUGGACAAUGGGCGCAAGCCUGAUCCAGCCAUACCGCGUGGGUGAAGAAGGCCUUCGGGUUGUAAAGCCCUUUUGUUGGGAAAGAAAAGCAGCAGGUUAAUACCCCGCUGUUCUGACGGUACCCAAAGAAUAAGCACCGGCUAACUUCGUG
rnacentral:rRNA from 1 species